rnacentral:lncRNA from 10 species
UACAGAUACUACCUGGCACGAUGAAUGUGGCAUUAGCCGUCCUCAUAACAACAAUCUGAUAAAUCAGUCCCUUGGCAACUUGUGUGGAUCUGGCAAAGAUACCUGUUAUUAAACUGGUUGUUUGACUGAUUUAAUUGAGUGAUUUGCAUUUGCUCUUCUUAUCCUUUUGGUCGUUAGGAGGGAGUUAAUUUUGUAACAAAGCUUCAUUGUUGCCUGGUUGACUCUGGAGUUAUCUUCGGCCUGCCUGAAGCACAGUGUGCUGCUGUGAUUAUUGCUGCAGUUUUAUCCCCAGCAUUAAGGGAAGCUUAGUGGUUAGCAAAGGAAGAACGUGAAUUUUGGAGGCCAGAAAAAAAUGAUCUUAAAUACUAGUUUGACAUUUUUCUUGAGUGAACAUUGUCACAUUAUUUUACGUAUGGAUUAUAAUAGACCCUUGAAAUAUUUAAGGAACAAUCUUGAGGCAUGGGAAUACUCAAAUGCAAGAAUACUACCCGAAUAUUUCUGGAGAGCUACAAUAGAGAUGGACAUUUUUUCUAGAAUUCUCUAGACUCAUCACCUUGGAAAGGAAGAAGCCAGGUCACAAUUGCCUGUUCACCCCUCCUCACUCCUCCCUCUUCUUGAUUCUCUAUGAGGCUGAGGAGAAGGAGGAAUAGAAGAGGUCGAUCUUGCUGUCUUAGGGUGGCAGAGGCAGAAGAGGAGAAGAGGUGGAAGGGGAAGCAAGAGAAAGUGACUUCUAAGAACAGUUACAGUUGAAGAAGGAGACCAAUUUUUCAUCUACCAAGUAUCACAGAUUAGGCAUAAAAUCAUUAGAAAUGGAUUUUCCUUUCUGCAUCCUUUAGUAAGUGUUUAAAAUUAGAUACCAUUUUGGUGUCUCGUCUUGGCUGUAGUGAAUGGUAGAGUCAAAAUAAUAGGUUUGUGAAGACAAGAGCUGGAAGUGAAAGAUAACGAGAAGUUUGUACAGUGUGUUAUCAGAAUAGCUUAAGUGCAGUUCAUUUGAACAAAGUAAUGUUUUCAUUUCUCCAUUGUUUACCUGUGCUUAACCCGCAGUGUUGAGGAAAU